UAAGUGAAAGCAAAUAAAUUGCGCCUAUCUGUUAAUUAGGAGUAAGUUUCAAUAACUCACUUAU
rnacentral:tRNA from 1 species